rnacentral:rRNA from 1 species
AACGAACGCUGGCGGCAGGCUUAACACAUGCAAGUCGAACGCGUGUAGCAAUACACGAGUGGCGCACGGGUGAGUAACGCGUGGAUAUCUGCCUUUUGGUUCGGAAUAACUCCGGGAAACUGGAGCUAAUACCGGAUGGUUCCUACGGGAUAAAGAUUUAUCGCCAAAAGAUGAGUCCGCGUACGAUUAGCUAGUUGGUGAGGUAAUGGCUCACCAAGGCGACGAUCGUUAGCUGGUCUGAGAGGACGAUCAGCCACACUGGGACUGAGACACGGCCCAGACUCCUACGGGAGGCAGCAGUGGGGAAUAUUGGACAAUGGGGGCGAACCCUGAUCCAGCCAUGCCGCGUGAGUGAUGAAGGCCUUCGGGUUGUAAGCUCUUUGGCGGGGACGAUGAUGACGGUACCGCAGAAUAAGCCCCGGCUAACUUCGUGCCAGCAGCCGCGGU